rnacentral:lncRNA from 10 species
AGGAAACUCCGGGACCCUGCAAGGGAUGACUCACCCCAGUGAUUCAACCGCGCCACCGAGCGCGGAGCUGCCCUGGAGGACGCAGGCGGGUCUAGUUGCCCGGGUCCCCCAAGGCCCCCGGAUUCACCCAGGCCCGCGACUCCGACGUGCAGCUUAGGUGGGUUGCAGGUCUAUGGCAGGAAAGGGAGGGCGCCUUGGAAGAAUUCUUCCCUUCCAUUUGGUGAUAAAGUGGGAGAGGCGGCAUUUACAACAUUUAAUAGAAAGCACGGGCUCUGGGCUCCCCUCGGGCAGCGGAGGGCAUUUCCCGGAUGCUUUGCCCACCUGGGGCAGAAGCUCGGGACCUGCAGCGAAGUAAACGUGUGGCUGUGAGCAGGGCCCUCUCCCAGCCACGGUGGCUUCUUCUACCCCACGAAGGUCAAGAAUACCUGGCCUGCCCACCUCGCGGGGCCCUUAGCGGGUCGCACAGGAGAAAGGCGGUGGGAAUGCCGGUGUCAGCCACGGUGUGACCGGCUCGGCUCACAGGUCUGAGGGUCAGUUGGCUCAGGCAUCGCCCGGUACGACCAGAGAUAGUGACUGAGGAAGAGCAGCCUCACAUCUGGCAGUUUGCCUCUGGGAGAAUUCCAGCGUGACAUCUGCAGCUCUGUGGUUCCAGAAAGGAUGGUUCCCACAUUGAAGAAGACAUCUGUGGGACUGAGUUCCACCGAAAUGCAGAGGAACCAAAAAUGAAAAUGAAAAAUGUAACCAGAGUUGUGUGCCACUAGUUUUAAGCUUUGGUUUUUCUAAAUUAUUUUCUGGCUUCUCCUUCUGGGCUUUGCUGUAAACUUGCCAAGCAUGAGAACAACUCUUCAUCUAUUGAGUGGCAUUUUAAGCCAUCCUGUCAAAGUAUCUCCUGUCAUUUUUAUUAUUAUUACUCUAUAUUGCCUGCAAGACACGACUGGAGAAUUCUUAGUGUAAGAAUUGUUUGUUUCCUCUCUCCUUCUUUCCCACGUUUUCCCAGGGAAGUCAGUCUUGCAUUUUAAUGCAUACUAUAUACAUAUCUCGUUUAGCUUACUGAACCACUUGUUUUAACAGAAUAAAACUGUGCAAAAUUUUAAUUUUCCUCCUUUGCCUGAACUGAAAUAGCACAUCCAGGUUUAGCCCUUGUAGACUUUCCUUCCUCGAAGCAGAAAGUUGCCCUUGAUGAUUUCCUCUUUGAGCUCUCUGCCAGCUCUGAAACCCACAAAAUUUAUGUUUGCAAAACUAAGCCAUGCAAUCCUCUUUUUAUGCAGGCUCUAGCCUGAGUCAUUUUCCCUAAGAGAUCUUCAGCUCCACCUGGGAUGUGAUUCUUUGCUCUCUGGGAUUGAAGGUAGCUGAAGAGAAAUAGUUACACUUCAGGUUUGUUACAAGACCCAAGAAAUUGUUGCAAUUCCACUUGGAGUCACUGACUUUUCUGAAAUCAUAUAGGGCUUUAAACAAUGUCAAGAUCAGCCAUUUGAUAAGAAAAAUGUUUACCAUUGGAUUGUGAUACACAAUGUGCCUUAAAUAUUGAUAAAUUAGAUGAAUAUUUAUUUUGUAUAUCCAUUAAAAUAGACAGGAAAGAGAAGAUGUUGGGUGUUUGCACAGGCUUUUUAGUCAGUACGGAAUGACAUUCUUCAAGAUUUAAAAAUGCUAAAAUCAUUACUAUUUUCAAGAAGAGGGAGGAAGAAAACGUGGUAAAUAAUAUUUCAUUGCGAA